CUCCAAGGGCCAUGAUUACAAAAGGUUCCUCAGAAACCAAGAGGCUAUGAAAGUCAAGAACGCCUUGCACGCCAUGGUUGGGAAAGGCCUCCAUACACAAGAAAUGAGGCACUGAAUUCAUAAAGACAAAGGCUGCUGGUUAUGCUGUCUCAGCAAUGCAACAUGUCUAACAGAUGCAGUGUUAUUGUCCUUCAAAUAGACCUGGCAUUUCCACCUGAUCUUCCUCAACUGUCCUACCAAGUACCAGGCCCAGGCCAAGU